rnacentral:tRNA from 1 species
GGGGAUUUAGCUCAGUGGUAGAGUGCUUGCCUAGCAAGCUCAAGGCCCUGGGUUCGAUCCCCAGCUCCG